rnacentral:sRNA from 1 species
CGUUUCCCCGCACCUCCUCCGCUAGCAUGGUGAAUUUGUGGGAGAUCGUCGGUGGGUCGGACACUGAUGGCGUCAUGGUGAGGAAGGGUGAGAAGCUGGGCACCCCCAAGUUAGAUGAGCGCAUCGCCACAGGUGCAAUUGUCGAGGAGAUA